UACGUAGGUGGCGAGCGUUGUCCGGAUUUACUGGGCGUAAAGAGCGCGCAGGCGGUCGUACAAGUCGCGUGUGAAAGCCCCCGGCUCAACUGGGGAGGGUCACGCGAUACUGUUCGACUCGAAGGCAGGAGAGGGAAGCGGAAUUCCCGGUGUAGUGGUGAAAUGCGUAGAUAUCGGGAGGAACACCAGUGGCGAAGGCGGUUCUCUGGGCCUGUACUGACGCUGAGGAGCGAAAGCGUGGGGAGCAAACAGG
rnacentral:rRNA from 1 species